UAAAGGUUUGGUCCUGACCUUACUAUCAGCUUCUUCUAAACUUACACAUGCAAGUCUCAGCAUACCCGUGAGGAUGCCCUUUAAUCUCUACCAGGAUAAGGAGCUGGUAUCAGGCACUAAAAUUUGCCCAUCACACCUAGUCUCACCACGCCCCCAAGGGUCACAGCAGUGAUAAACAUUGUUCAUAAGCGACAGCUUGACUCAGUUAUAGAAUACAGAGCUGGCCAACUCGGUGCCAGCCGCCGCGGCUAAACCGCACGAGCUCAAGUUGAUACAUUUCGGCGUUAAGCGUGAUUAAAGGAUCUUCUAAUUAGAAUAAAAUCAUCAUUUAGCUGUGACAAGCUUGUAAUUGAGAAAAACAAAAACGAAAGUUAUUCUAAUAUACUUGAACCCACGACAGUUAGA
rnacentral:rRNA from 1 species